GGGGGUCCGGGGGCGGUCAGGGGACAGAGAGCUGGCCAGCAGGGAGGGGUGCAAAUGUUUCAACACGACCCCUAUCUACUCCGUUCCAGAGGCUGGUCAGACUAGAAGGUGGAAAAAACGAACUCGGGAUGACAUGUUCACCGAGCUCAUG